rnacentral:rRNA from 1 species
AUGAGGACCCUCGUGGCCGUGGCCGUCCUCCUCCUCGUGGCGCAGCUGCUGGGCGCGUGCCAUGGGCAGGAGCAGCGGAAGAACUACGUGGUGCACCUCGAGCCGAGGGACGACGAGGGGAGCGCGGCUGUCCCGGUCGAGGACUGGCACCGCUCCUUCCUGCCGGAGGCCGCGCCGAGCUCCGCCGGCGACGGCGGGGCGGACGCCGGGCCCAGGAUCAUCUACUCCUACAGCCACGUGCUCACCGGGUUCGCGGCGCGGCUCAGCGACGCCGAGGCCGACGCGCUGCGGGGCAGGCCGGGCUGCAUCAGGCUCUACCCGGAGGUCUUCCUGCCGCUGGCCACCACCCACUCGCCGGGCUUCCUCGGCCUGCAGACCGGCAAGGACGGCUUCUGGAGCCGCUCUGGGUUCGGCCGCGGCGUGGUGAUUGGGCUCGUCGACACCGGGAUACUGCCUAGUCACCCCUCCUUUGGGGACGCCGGGAUGCCGCCGCCGCCCAAGAAGUGGAAGGGCGCGUGCGAGUUCAAGGCGAUUGCCGGCGCGGGGGGUUGCAACAACAAGGUCAUCGGGGCGCGCGCGUUCGGCAGCGCCGCCGUGAACGACACGGCGCCGCCCGUCGACGACGCCGGCCACGGCACCCACACGGCCAGCACGGCGGCCGGCAAUUUCGUGGAGAACGCUGAUGUCCGCGGCAAUGCGCACGGCACGGCCUCCGGGAUGGCGCCGCACGCGCACCUGGCCAUUUACAAGGUGUGCUCGCGCAGCCGGUGCUCCAUCAUGGACGUCAUUGCCGGGCUUGACGCCGCCGUCAAGGACGGGGUGGACGUCAUCUCCAUGUCCAUCGACGUCUCGGACGGCGCGCAGUUCAACUACGACCUCGUUGCCGUCGCCACGUACAAGGCCAUUGAGCGUGGCAUCUUCGUCAGCGCCGCCGCCGGCAAUGCCGGGCCGGCCGCUGGGAGCGUCUCCAACUGCGCGCCGUGGAUGCUCACGGUCGCGGCAGGCACCACGGACCGGGCGAUUCGCACGACGGUGAAGCUCGGCAACGGCCAGGAGUUCGACGGCGAGUCCCUGUUCCAGCCCCACAACAACUCCGCCGGGCGCCCGCUCCCGCUCGUGUUCCCCGGCGCCAGCGCCGACCCGGACGCCCGCGGCUGCAGCUCCCUCCCCGACUCGGUGAGCGGCAAGGUGGUGCUCUGCGAGAGCCGCGGCUUCAAGGAGCACGUCGAGCAGGGCCAGACCGUGAAGGCGUACAGCGGCGCCGGCAUGAUCCUGAUGAACAAGCCGGAGGAGGGGUACACCACCUUCGCCAACGCGCACGUGCUGCCGGCGUCGCACGUCAGCAACGCCGCCGGCUCAAAGAUCACCGCCUACUUCAGGUCCACGCCCAACCCCACGGCGAGCAUCACGUUCAAGGGCACGGUGCUGGGCAUCUCCCCCGCCCCGACGGUGGCCUUCUUCUCCUCCCGCGGGCCGAGCAAGGCCAGCCCGGGCAUCCUGAAGCCGGACAUCAGCGGGCCGGGGAUGAACAUCCUCGCCGCGUGGGCGCCGAGCGAGAUGCACCCGGAGUUCGUCGACGACGUGAGCCUGGCCUUCUUCAUGGAGUCCGGCACGUCCAUGUCCACCCCGCACCUGAGCGGCAUCGCCGCCGUCAUCAAGAGCCUGCACCCGAGCUGGUCCCCGGCGGCGAUCAAGUCGGCGCUCAUGACCUCCUCGGACCCCGCGGACAAGGCCGGCGUGCCGGUCAAGGACGAGCAGUACCGCCGGGCGAGCUUCUUCACCAUGGGCGCCGGGUACGUGAACCCGUCGCGCGCCGUGGACCCGGGCCUGGUCUACGACCUCUCGCCCAACGACUACAUCCCGUACCUGUGCGGGCUGGGCUACGGCGACGACGGCGUGAAGGAGAUCGUGCACCGCCGCGUGGACUGCGCCAAGCUGAAGCCCAUCACGGAGGCGGAGCUCAACUACCCGUCGCUGGUGGUGAAGCUGCUGUCGCAGCCGAUCACCGUCCGCCGCACCGUGAAGAACGUGGGCAAGGCGAACUCCGUGUACACGGCGGUGGUGGACAUGCCGAAGGAGGUGUCGGUCACGGUGCGCCCGCCCAUGCUGCGGUUCUCCAAGGUGAACGAGAGGCAGAGCUUCACGGUGACCGUGCGGUGGGCCGGGACGCAGCCGGCCGUCGCCGGCGCCGAGGGGAACCUCAAGUGGGUCUCCCCCGAGCACGUCGUGCGGAGCCCCAUCGUGGUGCCGCCGGCCAAGGUGGUCGUCUAA